UACAGAGGUCUCAAGCGUUGUUCGGAUUCAUUGGGCGUAAAGGGUGCGUAGGCGGCGCGGUAAGUCGGGUGUGAAAUCUUGGAGCUUAACUCCGAAACUGCAUUUGAUACUGGCGUGCUUGAGGACUGGAGAGGAGACUGGAAUUCAUGGUGUAGCAGUGAAAUGCGUAGAGAUCAUGAGGAAGACCAGUGGCGAAGGCGGGUCUCUGGACAGUUCCUGACACUGAGGCACGAAAGCAUGGGGAGCAAACAGG
rnacentral:rRNA from 1 species